rnacentral:rRNA from 1 species
UACGUAGGUGGCAAGCGUUGUCCGGAUUUACUGGGCGUAAAGAGCGCGCAGGCGGUCGUUCAAGUCGCGUGUGAAAGCCCCCGGCUCAACUGGGGAGGGUCACGCGAUACUGAUCGACUCGAAGGCAGGAGAGGGUAGUGGAAUUCCCGGUGUAGUGGUGAAAUGCGUAGAUAUCGAGAGGAACACCGGUGGCGAAGGCGGCCAACUGGACGAAGACUGACGCUGAGACACGAAAGCGUGGGGAGCAAACAGG